GGGAAGUUGGCUCACUGGUAGAGUGCUUGCCUCACAUGCAUGAGGCCCUGGGUUCGAUUCCCCAGUACCA
rnacentral:tRNA from 1 species